rnacentral:rRNA from 1 species
GAUGAACGCUAGCGGCAGGCUUAAUACAUGCAAGUCGUGGGGCAGCAGGACUGUAGCAAUACAGUUGCUGGCGACCGGCAAACGGGUGCGGAACACGUACGCAACUUACCCUGAACUGGGGGAUAGCCCGGGGAAACCCGGAUUAAUACCCCGUAAUAUAAUGGAGUGGCAUCACUUUAUUAUUAAAGCUCCGGCGGUUCGGGAUGGGCGUGCGGCUGAUUAGGUAGUUGGUUGAGGUAACGGCUCACCAAGCCUACGAUCAGUAACUGGUGUGAGAGCACGACCAAUCGCACGUGCACUGAGACACGGACCCGACUCCUACGGGAGGCAGCAGUAAGGAAUAUUGGGCAAUGGAGGCAACUCUGACCCAGCCAUGCCGGGUGGAGGAGGAAGGCCCUCUGAGUGGUAAACUUCUUUUAUAGGGGACGAAACCUGUGUAUUCUUACGCAGUUGACGGUACCCGAGGAAUAAGCACCGGCUAACUCCGUG